rnacentral:rRNA from 1 species
GACGAACGCUGGCGGCGUGCUUAACACAUGCAAGUCGAACGGAAAGGCCCUGCUUUUGUGGGGUGCUCGAGUGGCGAACGGGUGAGUAACACGUGAGUAACCUGCCCUUGACUUUGGGAUAACUUCAGGAAACUGGGGCUAAUCCCGUAUAGGAGCUCCUGCUGCAUGGUGGGGGUUGGAAAUUUUCGGCGGUUGGGGAUGGACUCGCGGCUUAUCAGCUUGUUGGUGGGGUAGUGGCUUACCAAGGCUUUGACGGGUAGCCGGCCUGAGAGGGUGACCGGCCACAUUGGGACUGAGAUACGGCCCAGACUCCUACGGGAGGCAGCAGUGGGGAAUAUUGCACAAUGGGCGGAAGCCUGAUGAAGCAACGCCGCGUGCGGGAUGACGGCCUUCGGGUUGUAAAAAGCUUUAGCCUAUGACGAAGCGUGAGUGACGGUAAUGGGUAAAGAAGCACCGGCUAACUACGUG